rnacentral:rRNA from 1 species
AGAGAGAGACAUGCGCGCAUAUCAAUAAGCGGAGGAAAAGAAACUAACUAGGAUUCCCUCAGUAACGGCGAGUGAAGCGGGAAGAGCUCAAAUUUGAAAUCUUCAAGGUUCUACCUUGACGAAUUGUAGUUUAAAGAAGUGUUUUCUGUUGGAGUUUUGGUAAAAGUUCUUUGGAAUAGGACAUCAUAGAGGGUGAGAAUCCCGUAUUUGACCAUUAUUUCCAGCUUUGUGAUACACUUUCAAAGAGUCGGAUUGUUUGAGAAUGCAGUCCAAAAUGGGUGGUAAAUUUCAUCUAAAGCUAAAUACUGGCGAGAGACCGAUAGCGAACAAGUACCGUGAGGGAAAGAUGAAAAGAACUUUGAAAAGAGAGUUAAACAGUACGUGAAAUUGUCAAAAGGGAAGCGUUUGACACCAGUGUUGUUUUCUCGAAAAUCAAUUAAAAAAGGCAGGAUUUUGUGUUGUAUUGACUUUAUCAGCUUUCUGCACUCUUUUCUUGUCUUUUUUAAUGCACUUUUCGUUUAACAAGUCAACAUCAAUUUCUUUUGUUGUAAAAGGGUCAUUGGAAGGUGGCUUUCUUUUCGGAGAAAGUGUUUAUAGCCUUUGGCCUCUGCAAUCGGAGAGAUUGAGGUCUGCAGCGUAGAUCCUUCGGGGUUAGAUACAUUUGUGCUAAGUUAUAGCCUUUCCAUAGACAACUUGUUGACUAUGAUCAGUCAUGUAGCUUACUCGCUUAUGCUAUUUUACCUACGCUUAGGAUGUUGAUGUGAUACUGCGAGCA